UAUUAGGCUUCCAGGGGAUACUGUUAGACUUGGGACCGGGAGAGGUAAGAGGUACUGCAGGGGUAGGAGUGAAAUCUUGUAAUCCCUGUGAGACCACCAGUGGCGAAGGCGUCUUACCAGAACGGGUCCGACGGUGAGGGACGAAAGCUGGGGGCACGAACCGGAUUAGAUACCCGGGUAGUCCCAGCUGUAAACGAUGCUCGUUAGGUGUCAGGAACGGUGCGACUGUUUCUGGUGCCGAAGGGAAGCCGUGAAACGAGCCACCUGGGAAGUACGGCCGCAAGGCUGAAACUUAAAGGAAUUGGCGGGGGAGCACUACAACGGGUGGAGCCUGCGGUUUAAUUGGACUCAACGCCGGAAAACUCACCGGGGGCGACAGCAAUAUGUAGGUCAGGUUAAAGGUCUUACCUGAAUCGCUGAGAGGAGGUGCAUGGCCGUCGUCAGUUCGUACUGUGAAGCAUCCUGUUAAGUCAGGCAACGAGCAAGACCCGUGCCCACUGUUACCAGCAUAUCCUUUAUGGAUGAUGGGGACUCUGUGGGGACCGCUGCUGCUAAAGCAGAGGAAGGUGCGGGCUACGGUAGGUCAGUAUGCCCCGAAUCUCCCGGGCUACACGCGGGCUACAAUGGUUGGGACAAUGGGUAUCUACUCCGAAAGGAGUUGGCAAUCUCUUAAACCCAAUCGUAGUUCGAAUUGAGGGCUGUAACUCGCCCUCAUGAAGCUGGAAUCCGUAGUAAUCGCGUUUCAACAUAGCGCGGUGA
rnacentral:rRNA from 1 species